AUUGAACGCUGGCGGCACGCCUAACACAUGCAAGUCGAGCGGUAGCAGGGCUAGUAGCAAUACUAGCUGCUGACGAGCGGCGGACGGGUGAGGAACACGUAGGAAUCUACCCUCAAGCGGGGGAUAACCAAGGGAAACUUUGGCUAAUACCGCAUAGAGACUCGGAAGAGGAAAGCUGCUGAAAGGCGGCACUUGAGGAGGAGCCUGCGUCCGAUUAGCUAGUUGGUGAGGUAAAGGCUCACCAAGGCGAUGAUUGGUAACUGGUCUGAGAGGACGGCCAGUCACACUGGGACUGAGACACGGCCCAGACUCCUACGGGAGGCUG
rnacentral:rRNA from 1 species